AAUAAGGUUUCUAUUAACACAGUGAACUUAAAGGUCAGGAGACUGCAGUGCUUCUCUUCACUGCCAAGGGCGCUGCAGCCCAUUUGUGUUGUGAAUCUGAUACUGGUCUCUAUUGCUCAAGAUUAAAGCAAAGACAGAGCAGCUGAAAAAAAGAAAGAGUUCCAAAUUUUAUUUAUUACUCCUCAUAGAUAUAAAUUAUUCUGGUGCCCAGAAACUUGGAAAGCUACGCAGUGACAGCUGCUUGCAUGUGUCCUCAAACUGAGAUGGUCCUCAUCCCUGAGAUCUGUGCAGUCCGUGAAAUCCCAGAUGCAAACGCUCCUUUCUAAGCUGCCUUUGGUGCAGGCACACGGACAAGGAGGAAGAGUUACAGUUCUUCAGUUUUGGGAAUCAGGCCUGGUUAUUUGCUCUCUCUCAGGAUUUGGAGGCCUACAUAAAGUUGAGUCCGUAGCUGACCUCAGACCCUCAGCAUCAUUAGCAGUGCCACCAUUGGGAGCCCCACCAGGGAGUUCAGUAGGACCAAAGUCUAAGCAGCCUUCUGCAAAUUCAGGAGUCAGUCUGUUCAUGCUAGGACUGAAUAAUGCUUUUCUUCACUAAAGUGCCAUAUAGUCUUCAGUUACUUCAGUCUGCCACUGAUCCAGCCCCAGCUUUGGAUGUCCUGAACUCCUGCUCGUCUCAUUACUAACACUUUCCCUUUCAAAUCAAUACCUUCUUCAGGUGGUAACUCUUUAAAUCCUUCAUUGUUCACGGGCAAGUGUGGGUGAUCCUGACAUGGCUGAGCUCUCGUAACAGAAACCCACUCUACUAAGAGGAGUGAAGCUGUCAAAGCAUACUUCCCACGUACAAACAGGAAUACAGUUUCUCUGCAUGUCGAUUAUUGUUUUUAGCUGUAAGAGUUGGUUUUUCCAUUCAUAACUCUUUUGUUGGUUUGAAUUUCUUUCUUUCUGGUGUCCUCAGUUUUUCCUCUGCACAUAGAAGCUGCUUUUAUUUCUGUAGACUCUUUAGAAACCAAUACAUUCAUCUGUAGCUAGCAAUUCAAGAGCAUAUUUAGCCAGGCGGUGUGUUCUUCGUUAUUACCUUGCAGAGUGACCUCUUAGAAGCAAAGAACGCAUUGACAUUUACAGUUAAUAAUCUAUUGAUUUAUGGUACAAAACAAAAGCAAUCAACGGGAGAGCUGUAAUUGUUUCAUUAAGUCUCACGAACAGCACAUUGUACAUUGAUCCACGGUGUCUCAGAGCUGCAGCUUUACAAUGUCAUGACUCUCCCUUAUUUUUCAGUUUGCUGGCACCUCAAAGUGCUUUGGUAGCCUCACAGUAUCCCACCGUUUUGAGUCAUGCUGUGACUGUGUGCCAGGUGAGCUACUGUCAAACGUGGUCAACCGAGCGCAGGAGGGCUUCAUACCCUUACAGAGGUGCUGAGAACUUUAGAGGGCACUUCUCUUAAAGGUAAGAUCAUGAAAAUCAAAUGUGUAAAAUACACUUUGCAGUUGUAUGCUGUGCUCACACUCCAGAUGUGUUACAUCCCUAAAGUCGCUCUUUGGAAAUAGGGAUGAAAGCAUUGUGGCUUUGCUGUAUGGAUGUAAGGAGUGCUCUCCUUUCUUGCUAAUGAGAGAGGGCUGUUCUGUUCUCUCACACCUCAACGCAUUUAAACCCCAGUUGCUUCACUUUAGAAAAUGCCCCAACCUUCAUGUGUUGACACAAGAAUGUGUCUACUGGGGAUUUAAGUCUCAGGUCUCCUUUAGCUCCAUUAUUUUUCUCUCUGGAGUUGACACUGCAGAAGGAGAUGGGUGUCUGUUGCUGAUGCUCUGGCCUUCAGCCAGCCUGAGGUCACUUCUGAAGAGGUUCCACAGAGAGCAAUCAUUCCUUCAUACUCUGCCUCAAGCAGAAAUGAUGCAGUAGUUUGGGAGGCCAGCAGUCUGUCCUCAGCAGAGGUCCUGCAGUCACUCCUGCUAUGUUCUAAUGGUUGGAUGCUUCAUGAAAAGUUUCAUUCUGAUAUAACAAAGAGGUUUUCCUGCUCCUGUUCUGGCCGGCACCUGGAAUCCUGUUCAAACCUCUCUGUACCACUGUUUGUUAGUGUAUUUCAUAGUAAAAUGAAGGUUACAGCCUCCCAAACUAUACAGUGGUGCUGCAAAUGCAACACCUACCUGUCUUUGCACCUUGUUUUUUUCUGGAUAGGAAGCUUUUCUGGAUCAAUGAAUAACCCUGUACUGCAGCAGAAGUAUGGAGUGCCUGCAGCUCUGUAAAGGUUAAACCUGGGGCGCAGCAUGGAUUUAUAAGCUCAAGAAUUUGUCUUAAUCAUAGAACAAUUCUGCAUUUUCAGAUAGCCCUCAUAUGGCUGUUUUUUUCCUUCUCCAAACCUGUGAUGGUAACUUUGGUGUGUCUGAUCAAAGGUAAAGACUUUGGUCUUUAACUGAAGACCAUAAAGAUCUUACCACGCUUCUCAGAAAUUUUACCUGUAGGAGUAAGUGUGAUGUCUCCCUUUUCUUGCUGAGUUAAUCCUUGUAUUUGUAAAGGAGUGUAAUAACAGGAAAGGAAAGGCCAUGAGUUACCUGUGGUAUUUAUUUUGCUGCUAAUAUGAACAAGGGAAAAUGGAAGGCUUUGCACUCCAACCAGUUUUGUAAUCUGCCUGCCAUUUUAAGUAAGGGUUUCGUGUUUUGGGUAAUGAGGCUUUUCGCAAUAGAUGUGGUCAGGUCAGCUUGAAUCCCUCCAGCAAAAUGGCCAGAGCAGCCACAGCUCUUCUCAUACCAUUGGUACAAACCUUCAAGAAGCUUCUAAUGAUUCUGAUGUUUAUAGCUUGGAAUAUUUUGCACACAUGUUCCAACUUUGCAUUCACAACAUUUGCUAAACCAACAGUCUGCAGCAGACAUGAUAGCUACCAUCAGGAAACUUGUUUGACAGUUUAAACAGACAGCAUCUGUGUUUCCUACAUUUCAUAGUACACAAAGAGAAUGAGAAUUGCCUGUAGCUCAAUUAAUUCAAGAUGUUGUCAUAGGAUGGGGCUGUGUUUUGGAGAUGUUAGAAACGUCUAAUUGAAAAAAGGAAUUUUGCUCUCGUAUUUGGCUGAGUUUCAUCAAUAUCACCUCCUCAGUGGGAUAUUGCUGAGAGCAGUUGGCUUCAGUUUGGGGAAGGAGGAUAAAUUGGCGUACAUCAGGGCUGCCCUCCUGCACUUCCAGCUACCUCUUUGUUGAGAGCAAAGGUGGCAUUUUCCCAUUCCAAAGCAAAGUAGGGACUUGAAUUGGGUACUACUUGAGCAUCUUUUGAAAUCAAAGCAAAAUAAUCACCGUUAUUGACAGAAGGGCAGACAGAACCAGAAUUAUGCCAAAUGCACCACACAUCAAAGUGUUACCCAGCAAGAGCAGCAGCAAGCUGAGGACAGCACAACCUGCUGGCAAUGGGCAUUUCUUGUAGCACCAUACUUGGGCUCAUGGAGCACAUGAACGGAUGCUGAAAGCUCAAUAGAAAGAAAAAGUGAUGCUGGACCACUUAGCAGAUCCGUUUAUCAAUGUGUCUGGAAGAAUUUCAAGUAAGGUAAGACAGUAAUGAAGUUGGAGCCAAGACAGCAUCAACUGGGUUUGAGUAAAGAAGAGGUUGAAAAGAGAAGUCGGUGCCUUUUCCCUCAGCUCCUAUCAACUCCCAAAGAAAUAAAAUGAAAAGCCAGCAGCUGACCAUGGUGGCACAUGUGACUGGCACACUCAACCUGGGGGAAGUGCACACAAUGAACCCCUUUCCUGGUUGAAUAGGCUCACAGAAUGUCAACCCAUUUCCCCAGACAGCCGGGACAUUUCGGAGUCAUUCUGUAUCCUUUUAUUGCCGUUGCCAUGGUGAAAGACACUAAUUCACCUUUGUGCAAAACUUAAUAAAAAUCGGCCCAUCA